UUCCGUAGGGUGAACCUGCGGAGGGAUCAUUACCGAGUUUACAACUCCCAAACCCCUGUGAACAUACCAAUUGUUGCCUCGGCGGAUCAGCCCGCUCCCGGUAAAACGGGACGGCCCGCCAGAGGACCCCUAAACUCUGUUUCUAUAUGUAACUUCUGAGUAAAACCAUAAAUAAAUCAAAACUUUCAACAACGGAUCUCUUGGUUCUGGCAUCGAUGAAGAACGCAGCAAAAUGCGAUAAGUAAUGUGAAUUGCAGAAUUCAGUGAAUCAUCGAAUCUUUGAACGCACAUUGCGCCCGCCAGUAUUCUGGCGGGCAUGCCUGUUCGAGCGUCAUUUCAACCCUCAAGCCCCCGGGUUUGGUGUUGGGGAUCGGCGAGCCCUUGCGGCAAGCCGGCCCCGAAAUCUAGUGGCGGUCUCGCUGCAGCUUCCAUUGCGUAGUAGUAAAACCCUCGCAACUGGUACGCGGCGCGGCCAAGCCGUUAAACCCCCAACUUCUGAAUGUUGACCUCGGAUCAGGUAGGAAUACCCGCUGAACUUAAGCAUAUCAAUAAGCGGAGGAAC
rnacentral:rRNA from 1 species